rnacentral:misc_RNA from 1 species
UACGUAGGGUCCGAGCGUUGUCCGGAAUUAUUGGGCGUAAAGCGCUCGCAGGCGGUCUUUUAAGUCUGAUGUGAAAGCCCACGGCUCAACCGUGGAGGGUCAUUGGAAACUGGGAGACUUGAGUGCAGAAGAGGAGAGUGGAAUUCCACGUGUAGCGGUGAAAUGCGUAGAGAUGUGGAGGAACACCAGUGGCGAAGGCGACUCUCUGGUCUGUAACUGACGCUGAGGAGCGAAAGCGUGGGGAGCGAACAGG